rnacentral:piRNA from 1 species
UGAGACCUUGAUGCCUCUUUGUUGGUCAAA